rnacentral:rRNA from 1 species
GUUGGUUAAGUCCGCAACGAGCGCAACCCCUAUUGUUAGUUGCCAUCAUUCAGUUGGGCACUCUAGCGAGACUGCCGGUAAUAAACCGGAGGAAGGUGGGGAUGACGUCAAAUCAUCAUGCCCCUUAUGACCUGGGCUACACACGUGCUACAAUGGUUGGUACAACGAGUUGCGAGUCGGUGACGGCGAGCUAAUCUCUUAAAGCCAAUCUCAGUUCGGAUUGUAGGCUGCAACUCGCCUACAUGAAGUCGGAAUCGCUAGUAAUCGCGGAUCAGCACGCCGCGGUGAAUACGUUCCCGGGCCUU